rnacentral:tRNA from 1 species
GGAGAUGUACCCAAGUGGCUGAAGGGUCCGCACUCGAAAUGCGGUAGGCGUCUAACGGCGCGCGAGAGUUCAAAUCUCUCCAUCUCCG